AAAGGAAUUUGACGGGGGCCCGCACAAGCGGUGGAGCAUGUGGUUUAAUUUCGAUGCAACGCGAAGAACCUUACCUAGACUUGACAUCCCGGGAAUCCUUAGGAAACUAAGGAGUGCCUUUCGGGAGCCCGGAGACAGGUGCUGCAUGGCUGUCGUCAGCUCGUGUCGUGAGAUGUUGGGUUAAGUCCCGCAACGAGCGCAACCCUUGUCAUUAGUUGCUACAUUCAGUUGGGCACUCUAAUGAGACUGCCGGUGACAAGCCGGAGGAAGGUGGGGAUGACGUCAAGUCCUCAUGGCCCUUAUAGGUGGGGCUACACACGUCAUACAAUGGCUGGUACAAAGGGUUGCCAACCCGCGAGGGGGAGCUAAUCCCAUAAAGCCAGUCGUAGUCCGGAUCGUAGUCUGCAACUCGACUACGUGAAGUCGGAAUCGCUAGUAAUCGUGGAUCAGAAUGUCACGGUGAAUACGUUCCCGGGUCUU
rnacentral:rRNA from 1 species